UGUAUCACAGUAAGGGCUAGUUAUGAUAGUAUGUCACAGUAAGGGCUAGUUAUGAUAGUAUCUCACAGUAAGGGCUAGUUAUGAUAGUAUGUCACAGUAAGGGCUAGUUAUGAUAGUAUGUCACAGUAAGGGCUAGUUAUGAUAGUCUGUGUCACAGUAAGGGCUAGUUAUGAUAGUAUGUAUCACAGUAAGGGCUAGUUAUGGUAGUCUGUGUCACAGUAAGGGCUAGUUAUGAUAGUAUGUAUCACAGUAAGGGCUAGUUAUGAUAGUCUGUGUCACAGUAAGGGCUAGUUAUGAUAGUCUGUCACAGUAAGGGCUAGUUAUGAUAGUAUGUGUCACAGUAAGGGCUAGUUAUGAUAGUAUGUAUCACAGUAAGGGCUAGUUAUGAUAGUAUCUCACAGUAAGGGCUAGUUAUGAUAGUAUGUGUCACAGGAAGGGCUAGUUAUGAUAGUAUCUCACAGUAAGGGCUAGUUAUGAUAGUAUCUCACAGUAAGGGCUAGUUAUGAUAGUAUGUGUCACAGUAAGGGCUAGUUAUGAUAGUCUGUAUCACAGUAAGGGCUAGUUAUGAUAGUAUGUGUCACAGGAAGGGCUAGUUAUGAUAGUAUCUCAAAGUAAGGGCUAGUUAUGAUAGUAUGUGUCACAGUAAGGGCUAGUUAUGAUAGUAUGUGUCACAGGAAGGGCUAGUUAUGAUAGUAUGUGUCACAGGAAGGGCUAGUUAUGAUAGUAUGUAUCACAGUAAGGGCUAGUUAUGAUAGUAUCUCACAGUAAGGGCUAGUUAUGAUAGUAUGUAUCACAGUAAGGGCUAGUUAUGAUAGUAUGUGUCACAGUAAGGGCUAGUUAUGAUAGUAUGUAUCACAGUAAGGGCUAGUUAUGAUAGUAUGUGUCACAGCAAGGGCUAGUUAUGAUAGUAUGUCACAGUAAGGGCUAGUUAUGAUAGUAUGUCACAGUAAGGGCUAGUUAUGAUAGACUGUUUCACAGUAAGGGCUAGUUAUGAUAGUAUGUAUCACAGUAAGGGCUAGUUAUGAUAGUAUGUAUCACAGUAAGG